CAUUGCAACCCUCAAGCCUAGCUUGGUCUUGGGCUCUUGCCCCCCGGGGCGGGCCCGAAAGCGAGUGGCGGUCCAGCGGGGCUUCAAGCGCAGUAAACCUUCUCCCGCUUUGGAAGCUCCCCGGUGCGUGCCGGCCAGACAACCCCCCACAUCACUCAAUGGUUGACCUCGGAUCAGGUAGGGAUACCCGCUGAACUUAA
rnacentral:misc_RNA from 1 species